UACGGAAGGCAGCAGUGGGGAAUAUUGCACAAUGGGCGCAAGCCUGAUGCAGCCAUGCCGCGUGUAUGAAGAAGGCCUUCGGGUUGUAAAGUACUUUCAGUCGUGAGGAAGGUGUUAAGGUUAAUAACCUUAGCAAUUGACGUUAGCGACAGAAGAAGCACCGGCUAACUCCGUGCCAGCAGCCGCGGUAAUACGGAGGGUGCGAGCGUUAAUCGGAAUUACUGGGCGUAAAGGGCACGCAGGCGGUUAAUUAAGUUGGAUGUGAAAUCCCCGGGCUUAACCUGGGAAUGGCAUUCAAGACUGGUUAGCUAGAGUCUUGUAGAGGGGGUAGAAUUCCAUGUGUAGCGGUGAAAUGCGUAGAGAUGUGGAGGAAUCCGGUGGCGAAGGCGGCCCCUGGACAAAGGCUGACGCUCAUGUGCGAAAGCGUGGGGAGCAAACGAGGGAUUUAGAUACC
rnacentral:rRNA from 1 species